rnacentral:rRNA from 1 species
CAGCAGCCGCCACGGGAAUACAGAGGGUGCAAGCGUUAAUCGGAAUUACUGGGCGUAAAGCGCGCGUAGGUGGUUUGUUAAGUUGGAUGUGAAAUCCCCGGGCUCAACCUGGGAACUGCAUCCAAAACUGGCAAGCUAGAGUAUGGUAGAGGGUGGUGGAAUUUCCUGUGUAGCGGUGAAAUGCGUAGAGAUCUGGAGGAAUACCGGUGGCGAAGGCGGCCCCCUGGACAAAGACUGACGCUCAGGUGCGAAAGCGUGGGGAGCAAACAGGAUUAGAUACCCCAGUAGUCCCUGUCUCUUAUAC